rnacentral:rRNA from 1 species
GCUCAAUGAUUUUUUAAAUUGCUGUGGUAUUUUGACUAUACGAAGGUAUUGAAAUAAGGCUUUAAAUGAGUGCUAAGAGAAUGGUUUAACAAUUAUAAGCUUUCUUUAUUUUAAAAAUUUGAAUUUAAUAUUUUUGUGAAGAAGCAAAAAUUAAAAUUAGGGACAAGAAGACCCUAUGAAUUUUAAUUAAAUUAUUCUAAAAAAGAAAUAAUUUAAUUUAAUUGGGGUGAUGGAAAAAGAAUUAGUAUCUUUUUAAAAAGUAAUUUGUUCCGAUAUUAUCGAUUAUAUGAAAAAAAUACUCUAGGGAUAACAGCGUAAUAAUUUUGGAUAGUUCUUAUAGAUAAAAUAGUUUGCGACCUCGAUGUUGGAUUAGGAUUCUUUUUUGGUGAAGAAAUUAAUAAAAAGAAGUUUGUUCAACUUUUAAAAUCCUACUUGAUCUGAGUUCAGACCGG